rnacentral:rRNA from 1 species
CUGGCGGCAGGCUUAACACAUGCAAGUCGAGCGGAGAGAGGUAGCUUGCUACUGAUCUUAGCGGCGGACGGGUGAGUAAUGCUUAGGAAUCUGCCUAUUAGUGGGGGACAACAUUUCGAAAGGAAUGCUAAUACCGCAUACGUCCUACGGGAGAAAGCAGGGGAUCUUCGGACCUUGCGCUAAUAGAUGAGCCUAAGUCGGAUUAGCUAGUUGGUGGGGUAAAGGCCUACCAAGGCGACGAUCUGUAGCGGGUCUGAGAGGAUGAUCCGCCACACUGGGACUGAGACACGGCCCAGACUCCUACGGGAGGCAGCAGUGGGGAAUAUUGGACAAUGGGCGCAAGCCUGAUCCAGCCAUGCCGCGUGUGUGAAGAAGGCCUUAUGGUUGUAAAGCACUUUAAGCGAGGAGGAGGCUACUUUAGUUAAUACCUAGAGAUAGUGGACGUUACUCGCAGAAUAAGCACCGGCUAACUCUGUGCCAGCAGCCGCGGUAAUACAGAGGGUGCAAGCGUUAAUCGGAUUUACUGGGCGUAAAGCGCGCGUAGGCGGCUAAUUAAGUCAAAUGUGAAAUCCCCGAGCUUAACUUGGGAAUUGCAUUCGAUACUGGUUAGCUAGAGUGUGGGAGAGGAUGGUAGAAUUCCAGGUGUAGCGGUGAAAUGCGUAGAGAUCUGGAGGAAUACCGAUGGCGAAGGCAGCCAUCUGGCCUAACACUGACGCUGAGGUGCGAAAGCAUGGGGAGCAAACAGGAUUAGAUACCCUGGUAGUCCAUGCCGUAAACGAUGUCUACUAGCCGUUGGGGCCUUUGAGGCUUUAGUGGCGCAGCUAACGCGAUAAGUAGACCGCCUGGGGAGUACGGUCGCAAGACUAAAACUCAAAUGAAUUGACGGGGGCCCGCACAAGCGGUGGAGCAUGUGGUUUAAUUCGAUGCAACGCGAAGAACCUUACCUGGCCUUGACAUAGUAAGAACUUUCCAGAGAUGGAUUGGUGCCUUCGGGAACUUACAUACAGGUGCUGCAUGGCUGUCGUCAGCUCGUGUCGUGAGAUGUUGGGUUAAGUCCCGCAACGAGCGCAACCCUUUUCCUUAUUUGCCAGCGAGUAAUGUCGGGAACUUUAAGGAUACUGCCAGUGACAAACUGGAGGAAGGCGGGGACGACGUCAAGUCAUCAUGGCCCUUACGGCCAGGGCUACACACGUGCUACAAUGGUCGGUACAAAGGGUUGCUACCUAGCGAUAGGAUGCUAAUCUCAAAAAGCCGAUCGUAGUCCGGAUUGGAGUCUGCAACUCGACUCCAUGAAGUCGGAAUCGCUAGU